UACGUAGGGGGCAAGCGUUGUCCGGAUUUAUUGGGCGUAAAGAGCGUGUAGGCGGCUAGAUAGGUCCGUUGUGAAAACUCGAGGCUCAACCUCGAGACGCCGAUGGAAACCAUCCAGCUAGAGUCCGGAAGAGGAGAGUGGAAUUCCCGGUAUAGUGGUGAAAUGCGUAGAUAUCGGGAGGAACACCAGUGGCGAAGGCGACUACCUGGCCCAUUCUUGACGCUGAGGCGCGAAAGCUAGGGGAGCAAACGGG
rnacentral:rRNA from 1 species